ACAUUGCCCCAAUAAGUUUCAACUUGAGGAUGCUGCAAAGGAUCACCAUACACUUCACUUGUGCUAGUUAUCAGAAAUCUAGCUCCUACUCUUUUUGCCAGCCCCAACAUGUUCAAUGUUCCCAUCACAUUUGUUUUGUAAUCUCUUUCUACUUAAGUCAAGGAAAUUAACUUAAAUCCUCCAAAAUAUACAUAAAUAAUUCUCCAAGUUAUUAGUCGUAGUAAAAGGAUAUAAUGGUCUUGACGGGAUUAUACUUGUAAUGAACCGGAGAAGCAGGGCACGCCAAAUGAUAAAUAUGAUCAACUUCAAGCAAGAUAGGCUCCACCACAUCAUGCCUAACCAACUCAAACUUAGGGUUAUUGAGAUGGUG
rnacentral:lncRNA from 1 species